GGAUGUGAGGGCGAACUGGCUGCGACAUCUGUAACUCCCCAUUGAUCGCUAAGGUUGAUUCGGCUGAUCUGGCUAGGCGGGUGUCCCCUUCUUCCCUCAACACUCCAUGAGCGUCCCUCCCGAAGCCCCGCGCUCGGUGGAAGAGGACCAGACCACACGGGUAAACGAGUAGCUGCUCCCCUGCUAGAAUCUCCAAACAAGCCUAUUUGUAGGAGAGCCAAGCUCCGAGAGUUCUCGCACAUCUCAGUGAGGCGCUGCACGGGGCAGUCUGCCUUCCUUU
rnacentral:snRNA from 1 species